UAUGUACUCCCUCCGUCUAGAAAUACUUGUCAACAAAAUGAAUAAAAGAUGAUGUAUCUAGACGUAUUUUAGUUUUAGAUACAUUUUUUUUAUCCAUUUUGAUAAUAAAUAUUUUCGGACGGAGGGAGUACGUA
rfam:Triticum urartu cultivar G1812 contig965755, whole genome shotgun sequence.